UACGUAGGGAGCAAGCGUUGUCCGGAAUCAUUGGGCGUAAAGCGCGCGUAGGUGGCUUCGUAAGUCCGUUGUGAAAGUCAAAGGCUCAACCUUUGAAUGCCGAUGGAUACUGCGGAGCUAGAGUACGGAAGAGGCGAGUGGAAUUCCUGGUGUAGCGGUGGAAUGCGCAGAUAUCAGGAGGAACACCAAUAGCGAAGGCGCUCGCUGGGACGUUACUGACACUAAGGCGCGAAAGCGUGGGGAGCGAACAGG
rnacentral:rRNA from 1 species